UGGGGAAUAUUGGACAAUGGGCGAAAGCCUGAUCCAGCCAUGCCGCGUGUGUGAAGAAGGCCUUUUGGUUGUAAAGCACUUUAAGUGGGGAGGAAAAGCUUAUGGUUAAUACCCAUAAGCCCUGACGUUACCCACAGAAUAAGCACCGGCUAACUCUGUGCCAGCAGCCGCGGUAAUACAGAGGGUGCAAGCGUUAAUCGGAAUUACUGGGCGUAAAGCGAGCGUAGGUGGUCAUUUAAGUCAGAUGUGAAAGCCCCGGGCUUAACCUGGGAACUGCAUCUGAUACUGGAUGACUAGAGUAGGUGAGAGGGAAGUAGAAUUCCAGGUGUAGCGGUGAAAUGCGUAGAGAUCUGGAGGAAUACCGAUGGCGAAGGCAGCUUCCUGGCAUCAUACUGACACUGAGGUUCGAAAGCGUGGGUAGCAAACAGGAUUAGAUACCCUGGUAGUCCACGCCGUAAACGAUGUCUACCAGUCGUUGGGUCUUUUAAAGACUUAGUGACGCAGUUAGCGCAAUAAGUAGACCGCCUGGGGAGUACGGCCGCAAGGUUA
rnacentral:rRNA from 1 species